rnacentral:rRNA from 1 species
GACGAACGCUGGCGGCGUGCCUAAUACAUGCAAGUCGAACGAACCGCGACUAAGUGCUUGCACUAAGUCAAGGUGAGUGGCGAACGGGUGAGUAACACGUGGGUAACCUACCUCAUAGUGGGGGAUAACAGUCGGAAACGACUGCUAAUACCGCAUAGGACAUAGGAUCACAUGAUCCAGUGAGGAAAGGUGGCGCAAGCUAUCGCUAAGAGAUGGACCCGCGGUGCAUUAGCUAGUUGGUAGGGUAAAGGCCUACCAAGGCGAUGAUGCAUAGCCGACCUGAGAGGGUGAUCGGCCACAUUGGGACUGAGACACGGCCCAAACUCCUACGGGAGGCAGCAGUAGGGAAUCUUCCGCAAUGGACGCAAGUCUGACGGAGCAACGCCGCGUGAGUGAAGAAGGUCUUCGGAUCGUAAAGCGCUGUUGUUAGAGAAGAACAGCGCAUAGAGUAACUGCUAUGCGUGUGACGGUAUCUAACCAGAAAGCCACGGCUAACUACGU